ACGAACAGAUCAGAUCAAACGAGAUAAAUUCAUAAAAAAUAAGAUGAAUAGGCCGAAUAUAGGAUUAGAUAAAGUACAGCAGUAGCAACUAACAACAACGGGAACAACGGUUACCAUACCUAACUAAACAAUGCUGACCACCGGAGUAGCACCACUCUCAUCUCCCCGCUUAUCAAUGGCGCCUAUUCUUAAACCACCGCCCAUGUUAGCAUCUAGCAGAGCUUCAUUUCUAUCGCCAUUGUUAGGGUUAAGGUUUCCGAAAUUCAACUCAAUUAUUUCUCCCAGAAUCCAACGCCUUUCCAUUAAAGCCUCCAGAACUGAAUCCAAAGGCGUUUCCUUAGGGUUUCGACCUCCCGAUUUUCAGCUUCCGGAGCCAUUAACGGGGAAGACAUGGACAUUGCAAGAUUUCGAAGCUUAUCCGGCUUUAUUGGUUAUGUUUAUCUGCAAUCAUUGCCCAUUUGUCAUACAUUUGAAAAAGGAUAUUGUGAAGCUUUCAAAGUUUUACAUGAAGAAGGGACUUGCUGUUGUUGCAAUAUCUUCCAACUCUGUUGUUACUUAUCUACAGGAUGGACCAGAAUUUAUGGCAGAAGAAGCCAAAUUCUAUAGUUAUCCAUUUCCUUAUUUAUAUGACGAGUCUCAAGAUGUUGCACAUGAUUUUGGAGCAGUUUGCACACCAGAGUUUUUCUUGUUUAAGAAGGAGGGACGUAGGCCGUUUGAGCUUGUGUACCAUGGACAGUUUGAUGACUCCAGACCAAGUAAUAAUGUGCCCAUUACUGGAAGGGACUUGAGUAUGGCAAUUGACUCUGUUCUCAGCGAUCAACCUGUUACUGAUCAUCAAAAACCCAGUGUUGGAUGUAGCAUCAAGUGGCAUCCUGAGGUGAAGCAAUAAUUUGACCGGCCUUUUAUUCUCUAAAACUUGGUGAUGAUUGUUUACAACCAUAACUUUUGCUUUCAGAUCAUUUAUAUCAACAGCAGGCAGCUGGCAGCAGGAAUACGCAAAGUUGAUGUUUAUCACAUGGAGGUGCCUGGGAUGAUGUAUGACCUGUGGGUAAAAUGAUAUGGAUGUGAUCGGUAUGAGAUACUGACUCAAUGGGCAUAUCUGUAAAGAUGUUAGCUAAAUGACAUUGUCACUUGAUUUAAUGAUUUUGAUGCCCUCAUACAUGUUAUUCACAUGUAGUCCCAACCAUAUGAGAACACUAUUGACUAUGUAAGUAGUGUAGUUAUUUAGGAUAUUAAUGGCUCACAUCACAAGUUUGCAUGUUAGUUCAUGUUGCUAACUUGUUUAAUUGUUGCUCAUUUAUACCGAACUGUGGUCUAUUUGGGUUCCAUGAGUCUAGAAUGGUAUACAGUACAGUUUGCCCUUGUUUAGAAUAUAUGUGGAUAUUGUAAACAAA